rnacentral:lncRNA from 1 species
ACUUCGCUCUCCUGCCAGCAUGUGAAGGUGCCUUGCUUCCCCUUCGCCUUCCACCACGAUUGUAAGUUUCCUGAGGCCUCCCCAGCCAUGUGGAACCGGCUUCCUUCCUCGGCUCCACCCUGUGGAUGUAAUGGCGGCCCCUGCUCUGUCCUGGCGUCUGCCCCUCCUCAUCCUCCUCCUGCCCCUGGCUACCUCUUGGGCAUCUGCAGCGGUGAAUGGCACUUCCCAGUUCACAUGCUUCUACAACUCGAGAGCCAACAUCUCCUGUGUCUGGAGCCAAGAUGGGGCUCUGCAGGACACUUCCUGCCAAGUCCAUGCCUGGCCGGACAGACGGCGGUGGAACCAAACCUGUGAGCUGCUCCCCGUGAGUCAAGCAUCCUGGGCCUGCAACCUGAUCCUCGGAGCCCCAGAUUCUCAGAAACUGACCACAGUUGACAUCGUCACCCUGAGGGUGCUGUGCCGUGAGGGGGUGCGAUGGAGGGUGAUGGCCAUCCAGGACUUCAAGCCCUUUGAGAACCGUGAGUGAGGAAGCCAGGGUGGGGCUGGGGCAGGGCUGGGCACCU